CCUACGGGCGGCAGCAGUGGGGAAUAUUGGACAAUGGGGGGAACCCUGAUCCAGCCAUGCCGCGUGUGUGAAGAAGGCCCUCGGGUUGUAAAGCACUUUCAGUGAGGAAGAACGCCUGGUGGUUAAUACCCAUCAGGAAAGACAUCACUCACAGAAGAAGCACCGGCUAACUCCGUGCCAGCAGCCGCGGUAAUACGGAGGGUGCGAGCGUUAAUCGGAAUUACUGGGCGUAAAGCGCGCGUAGGUGGCUUGAUAAGCCGGUUGUGAAAGCCCGGGCUCAACCUGGGAACGGCAUCCGGAACUGUCAAGCUAGAGUGCAGGAGAGGAAGGUAGAAUUCCCGGUGUAGCGGUGAAAUGCGUAGAGAUCGGGAGGAAUACCAGUGGCGAAGGCGGCCUUCUGGACUGACACUGACACUGAGGUGCGAAAGCGUGGGUAGCAAACAGGAUUAGAUACCCCAGUAGUC
rnacentral:rRNA from 1 species